rnacentral:misc_RNA from 1 species
CGCCGUCCACCUUCACCUGGGUGCGCCUCCUCUCUCACACGCGGAGGCCCACCUCCACGCACAUACACGCGCAAAGAGAGCGCGAGACACCGGAACUGCCGAUCCAUCGAGUCCUCGCUGGGGCCAUGGCGAGCCCGCCUACUGCGACAGGCUCGUCGCCGGCAGACGCGGACUUCAUCAUUCCGAUUGAGACGAGGUAUCUGUACGUGACUGCCCGAAGCGUGCCUCGCGAGACGCUGCUCAUGACAGGGGAUUGCCCCAUCUGCAAGAGCGCCCUCGGCCAGCCGUGUUUGAAGUGCACCUCCUCUAUGGACGAGUGCCCCGUCGCCGUCGGUGUUUGCGGCCACAUCUUUCACCAACACUGCCUUGAGCAGUGGCUGCAGGGGACGUGCCCCCUCUGCCGCAAUCAGUGGCAGCAGGAGCGCAUCAUCCAACAGAACUAGAAGGGCGAAGCGCAGGGGCGGUGGGGUCGGGCAGUCGCCCCCUCGUACGGAUGUGACGUGUGCACUGCGCGCCCACAUUUCGUGUUCUCGUUGUUCGCGGGUGCGCGUGCCACCCCCGCCCCCUCUACUCUUUCUAUCCGCAUCACUGUCCCGGAGAAGCCUCCCCUGGUCAGUGUGCUACGACCAUCACGACAGCCACCCACACCUUUACUCUCCACCAUCUUCCCCUCCCCUGAUGUGCGAUGCGUCGGCGCACGCACGCUCUUCGUCGGCUGCGGCGUUCAACUCUUCCUCGUCGCUCUCUCCAGCCGUCGCGAACCUCCCUGUGCGGCGCGGGGUGUGUGACGGACUACGCAGAGAGACAUAGGAGACGGCAGAGGAGCGGGGGGGGGCGGAGAGUCGAGGAGCGUGCGGGCGGGUUAGGGAGGGGGCAGGAAUGGCUCGCUAAACGAAUGCUGCCGGAAACGAAGUUCUCAUUGCUGAGCGCGUACCUCUCUCUUGCGCGCGCGCUGCUGAACCUUUCCUGAUGUGUGUGCGCAUGUGUUUGCCUUGCCUUCUUCCUGUUGCUCGUUGGAGGGCGCAUGCACUUCUCUCCCCUCUCAAUCACCGCGCUGCCCGUCUUUUUGUCUGUCUAUCUCCUCCUCUGCCUCCAUAGGCACGGGAAGGAAAAGGCCGCUAACUCAGCGGUGCGUGCGUGCCCGAGAAAGGAGGACGGUCAGGUCCCGUCACGGGCGAUCCCACAAAGGGAAACCUGCGCACGGGUGGAGGAGGCGUGCGAGGGAGAGGGCCGAGAUCCAAACGACGAGAGAAGACAAACGUGGGCCAUAGCGUGGCACGCAUCCCUGUCACUCUACAUCGCUGCCGACUACUUGUGGAGUAUCGACGUAUGUGUGUGUGUGUGUGUGUGUGUGUGUGCGUCUGCAUGCCUAUGCGCCGGUCG